GACGAACGCUGGCGGCGUGCUUAACACAUGCAAGUCGAACGGAAAGGCCCUGCUUUUGUGGGGUGCUCGAGUGGCGAACGGGCGAGUAACACGUGAGUAACCUGCCCUUGACUUUGGGAUAACUUCAGGAAACUGGGGCUAAUACCGGAUAGGAGCUCCUGCUGCAUGGUGGGGGUUGGAAAGUUUCGGCGGUUGGGGAUGGACUCGCGGCUUAUCAGCUUGUUGGUGGGGUAGUGGCUUACCAAGGCUUUGACGGGUAGCCGGCCUGAGAGGGUGACCGGCCACAUUGGGACUGAGAUACGGCCCAGACUCCUACGGGAGGCAGCAGUGGGGAAUAUUGCACAAUGGGCGGAAGCCUGAUGCAGCAACGCCGCGUGCGGGAUGACGGCCUUCGGGUUGUAAACCGCUUUCGCCUGUGACGAAGCGUGAGAGACGGUAAUGGGUAAAGAAGCACCGGCUAACUACGUG
rnacentral:rRNA from 1 species